rnacentral:rRNA from 1 species
CACGUAGGGGGCAAGCGUUGUCCGGAUUUAUUGGGCGUAAAGAGCUCGUAGGCGGCUCGGUAAGUCGGGUGUGAAAACUCGGGGCUCAACCCCGAGACGCCACUCGAUACUGCCAUGGCUUGAGUCCGGUAGGGGAGUGUGGAAUUCCCGGUGUAGUGGUGAAAUGCGUAGAUAUCGGGAGGAACACCAGUGGCGAAGGCGACUACCUGGCCUGUUCUUGACGCUGAGGCGCGAAAGCUAGGGGAG